CAAUAGCGUAUAUUAAAGUUGUUGCAGUUAAAAAGCUCGUAGUUGGAUUUGUGGCGUACGGUAUGUUCCGGGCACUUGUUGUCUGAGUAACCUGCUGUUGCCAUCCUUGGGUGGAACCUGUGUGGCAUUAGGUUGUCGUGCAGGGGAUGCCCAUCAUUUACUGUGAAAAAAUUAGAGUGUUCAAGGCAGGCUUAUGCCGUUGAAUAUAUUAGCAUGGAAUAAUGAGAUAGGACUUUUUUGCUAUUUUGUUGGUUUGCGCAAAGAGGUAAUGAUUAAUAGGGACAGUUGGGGAUAUUCGUAUUCCAUUGUCAGAGGUGAAAUUCUUGGAUUUUUGGAAGACGAACUACUGCGAAAGCAUUUACCAAGGAUGUUUUCAUUAA
rnacentral:rRNA from 1 species